CUGAGUAUGAUGGAUUAAGUAGGUCUGCACAUGAGGUUUAAAUUGAAAUGUAUCCAUGUUAAUCUCUGAAGACCAAUCCUUUGGCGACGUCACUGCUUACAUCACACAUGGAAGUGGAAGAACAUCAGUUCAACUUACUGGCUUUACAGCAAACAUUUAUAUCGAACAUUAUUACAGAGUAACCUUUAGCUCCAUGGAAGAGUUCAGCUUUCAAAAAAUAAAAUUGCAUCAUGUAGUGGGUCAUAACCACUUUUAACCAUCAACAACGUUGCCCAAUC